UACGAGAGGCCCAAACGUUAUUCGGAUUUAUUGGGCGUAAAGAGCUCGUAGGCGGCUCGUCGCGUCGACCGUGAAAACCCGCGGCUUAACUGCGGGCUUGCGGUUGAUACGGGCGGGCUAGAGUUCGGUAGGGGAGACUGGAAUUCCUGGUGUAGCGGUGAAAUGCGCAGAUAUCAGGAGGAACACCGGUGGCGAAGGCGGGUCUCUGGGCCGAUACUGACGCUGAGGAGCGAAAGCGUGGGGAGCGAACAGG
rnacentral:rRNA from 1 species